CAAUAGCGUAUAUUAAAGUUGUUGCGGUUAAAAAGCUCGUAGUUGGAUUUCUGCCGAGGACGACCGGUCCGCCCUCUGGGUGAGUAUCUGGCUUGGCCUGGGCAUCUUCUUGGAGAACGUAGCUGCACUUGACUGUGUGGUGCGGUAUCCAGGACUUUUACUUUGAGGAAAUUAGAGUGUUUCAGGCAGGCUAGGCCGGAAUACAUUAGCAUGGAAUAAUGGAAUAGGACUACGGUCUCGUUGUUGGUUUGAGGGACUGGAGUAAUGAUUAAUAGGGAUAGUUGGGGGCGAUUAGUAUUUAACUUGUCAGAGGUGAAAUUACUUGGAUUUGUUUAAAGACGGACUACUGCGAAAGCAUCUGCCAUGGAUGUUUUCUAUUGAUCAAGAACGAAAGUUAGGGG
rnacentral:rRNA from 1 species